ensembl:lncRNA
CAGUCACAAACACACAAUGACAAUGGCGUCCUCCUUUCUUUAAUCUGAAUGCAUUCACCGUCACAGUUCUCUCGCUCAUCCUGUCUCCAGGUUAAUGCCCUCAUACAGCGUGUCAGCUACAGUGAGCUCCCCGCUGGAUGUGUGCUCUGCCAUGACUGCUAUGCCCAGCCUGUUUAGGAGGGGAAGUGUUUUCCUGCGACCACGCCAGAGGAGAGGAAAACAUGCUUUUCUGCCACUGCAUGUCACUAAGGUCACAGAGCUUUUCACUGGUUUGAGGUCUGAUUCAUGGAACUGCUCUCAGCUUCAAUGCAGGAAGUGGUAUGAAAUGAAGAUGAAUGUCAUGCCCAAAGGCCAGAAAAAAACACCUUAUACUUCAAUUACAUUACACUCCAUGGGCAUUUAUGCUACACCCUGUCAGGAUUCAACCACUGAUCACAGUGUAGAACAGCAUGCAAGAUGGCAAUGAGGAAAAAAUAUGCCCACAGGUCUGUC